UACGGGGGGGGGCAAGCGUUGUUCGGAAUUACUGGGCGUAAAGGGCCCGUAGGCGGCCAACUAAGUCGGACGUGAAAUCCCUCGGCUUAACCGGGGAACUGCUUCCGAUACUGGAUGGCUAGAGUGUGGGAGAGGGAUGCGGAAUUCCAGGUGUAGCGGUGAAAUGCUUAGAUAUGACAUAGAACACCAAUUGCGAAGGCAGCUGACUACAGGGAUAUUGACACUGAGGCACGAAAGCGUGGGGAUCAAACAGG
rnacentral:rRNA from 1 species